GCGAAGGCGGCUUUUUUGGUACUGUAACUUGACGCUCAGGCGCGAAAGCGUGGGGAGCAAACAGGAUUAGAUACCCUGGUAGUCCACGCCGUAAACGAUGACUGCUUAGUGUUAGAGGCUUUCCGCCCUUUAUUGCUGCACCUAACCCAUUAAUCACUCCGCCUGGGGAGUACGGUCCCAAGACUGAAACUCAAUGGAUUUGACGGGGGCCCGCACAACCGGUGAACCAUGUGUUUUAUUUCAUACCACCCCGAAAAACCUUACCACGUCUUGACUUCCUCUGACUUCUCUAAAAAUAUAUCGUUCCCCUUC
rnacentral:rRNA from 2 species